UACAGAGGGUGCAAGCGUUAAUCGGAAUUACUGGGCGUAAAGGGUGCGUAGGUGGUUAAUUAAGUCAGAUGUGAAAUCCCCGGGCUCAACCUGGGAACUGCCUUUGUGACUGCAAGGCUUGAGUGCGGCAGAGGGGGAUGGAAUUCCGCGUGUAGCAGUGAAAUGCGUAGAUAUGCGGAGGAACACCGAUGGCGAAGGCAAUCCCCUGGGCCUGCACUGACGCUCAUGCACGAAAGCGUGGGGAGCAAACAGG
rnacentral:rRNA from 1 species